GAUUUAUGAUGACAUAGGACCUUGUCUGAAUAUAAUGAUUUUAAAAAUUGAGCUUUAGUGACUCUGAAAUC